CCUACGGGAGGCAGCAGUGAGGAAUAUUGGUCAAUGGGCGCGAGCCUGAACCAGCCAAGUAGCGUGAAGGAUGACUGCCCUACGGGUUGUAAACUUCUUUUAUAAAGGAAUAAAGUGAGGCACGUGUGCCUUUUUGUAUGUACUUUAUGAAUAAGGAUCGGCUACUCCGUGCCAGCAGCCGCGGUACUACGGAGGAUCCGAGCGUUAUCAGGAUUUAUUGGGUUUAAAGGGAGCGUAGGUGGGUUGUUAAGUCAGUUGUGAAAGUUUGCGGCUCAACCUGAAAAUUGCAAUUGAUACUGGCAGCCUUGAGUGCAGUUGAGGUAGGCGGAAUUCGUGGUGUAGCGGUGAAAUGCUUAGAUAUCACGAAGAACUCCGAUUGCGAAGGCAGCCUACUAAACUGCCACUGACAUUGAUGCUCGAAAGUGUGGGUAGCAAACAGGAUUAGAUACCCGGGUAGUC
rnacentral:rRNA from 1 species